CUCGGAUGACCCGCAUGUCUCUCUCUCAAACCUUCUCUUUUUCGUAAGUGUUUUCCUCAUUUCCCCCAAAUCGAAAGCAAAUCAAUCCCUCGAAACCCUAGAACCCGACUCGAGGCAGUGAUGAAAUUCACCGAAACCCACCGAUACCCACCGAUAUCCACCGCGUCUUCUCCUGUCCAUCAUCAGAACCACCAUCUUCUUCUGGUGUCAGCUUCCUUUCAUCCUCUUGUUCUCUUUACCCAUCGUUGUAAAAGACUCCACAGAAGCUAAUAUGUCGUCUCAGUCUCCAUUUUCCUCUUUGCCAUGAGCUUCGGCAAUCUUCAUGUCUUCUCUUAUCAUCCCUCUUCCGCCGAUCUUCAUCGAAUCCAACUGAUAUUUCAUCACCCUGAAGCUCAUGUCAAUGCGAUCCAAGCACACAUCAGAUUUAGCCUCAGAAAUAUGAAAGUUGGCGAGAAUGUGGAUCAUCUGAUUUUGGGUGAUGAAGAAGAUAAACCGGGUUGGGUAGUUUAUGGGUCGGAUUUUAUUCUUUUUUUUAAUUUGCAUCAGAUUUUGUUACAAUUGGAUUUUGUGUUGGUUUAUCUGGUUAAAGACUUUUUGGUUAAUAGUAAACCGACUAACAUUAUGUUAUAUGAAUAUUUAAGUUUCAAACCAUUGAUUCUGAGAGAAACAAGUUUGAAACUUCUAAUUCAUGGAGAAAUAAU